CAGAUUAUUCAAAUUAAAUUCUAAAUAAUCAAGUACUUUUAAUUUUUGUUUUAGUUAAGCAUUUAUUUAUAGAAAAAUCAUAAAAAUUAAUUUAUUAAUUUAUAAGUUAAAUAUUAUAAAUUAAAAUUUAAUUAUUAAAGAUUUUGUAUGAUUUGAUAAAUAAUUUUAAUUUUUAUAUAAUACUAAUGUUUAUUAUUAGUAAUUUUUAUUUGUUUUAAAUUAUUUUUUAAAUUUUUUAUGUUAUAAUCAUUAUAAUAAAAUGUAAUUAUUUAAUUUUUUUAAUAUAAUAUAAUAAAUCUUUUUAAUUAUAAUUAAAUUAGUAUUAAAUUUUUUUAUUACUUUAUCUUUUAUUUCCUAAUAAUUUUUAAAUUAUAUUAUUUUAUUAGAAUUUAUGGACAUCUGUUUACUAAAAACAUAAGAAUAAGUUUUAAAUUUAUUUUGACUUUUUAUAAUUAAGUGUCUUUUAAAAUUAGUAGGUAUAAGUUGAUUUUUAAUUGUUUUCUCUCCUAAAAAUGUGAUGUUUAUAAAUUUUAAUUAUAUAAAAUAAAGAAUUUUUGUUUUAAUUAAGAUGAUAAGUCCCUAAAAGUUUAAAUUGAUGGGGUGAGCUAUGUUAAAUAAUAUUUAUUUCUAUUUAAUUGAUUUGUUUAUUACUUUAGGGCUAAUGGGAUUAUUCUUAUUUAUAAGCUUUUAUUACCUCGUUGUUGUAUAAAUUAUGAUUGAAUAUCAGCAUUUGAUUCUUUUUAAACUGUUCUUUUAUUAAAUUUUUUCUUUAUAUGAGUUUAGAACGUAGCAUUGUAGUUCGGUUUCUAUCUAAUUCAUUUAAUAAUGUACGAAAGGAAUUUUAUUUUUA
rnacentral:rRNA from 1 species